rfam:Canis lupus familiaris chromosome 17, whole genome shotgun sequence.
CGGGGGAGGCCGGAUCCUGGGCUGUGUCCCGGCGCCCUGUGCUCCCGGCUGCGCUGGUGGAUUCGCGCUCGCGCCCCGCAGCCCCCU